AUAUAAAGUUUUAUUUGCUCUUUGGUUUUGUUUGGUUCGGGUAUAAAUAAGAACUGUCUAUUUUAGGGAUAGGUACAAGUUUAGAUAUAUGCAAAAAUUAAACUAAUUUUGCGUUUGAAUGAAAAUUGAAUUAUUUCCGGGAAUAAAAAAAAUAGCGUUUGGAUAGAUAAAAUGAAAUAAGAAAAAAUAGUGGGUAGUUAUAAAUAGAAAAUAUUAAUAUUGCCCCUCAUAUUAUACUUGAAGUUAAAUUUUUAAAUUUUUAAAUUUUAUAUUUAAAUUGUUAAAUUUAAAUAUAUGACUUUUAAAAUUCAAAAAUUCAAAAUUAUAAAUUUUAAAAUUUUAAAUCUCAAAUUCAAAAAUUCAAAGUUCUAAAUUUUAAAUUUAAUAAGAUUAAAUCUAAAUUUAAAUAUAUAAAAUAUUAAAUUUUAAAUUUAAAAAAAAUUAAAAUUUAAAACUGAAAAUAUAAAAAUUUAAAAAUUAAAAUUAUAAAAU
rnacentral:lncRNA from 1 species